rnacentral:rRNA from 1 species
UACAGAGGUCUCAAGCGUUGUUCGGAUUCAUUGGGCGUAAAGGGUGCGUAGGUGGCGGGGUUAGUCAGGUGUGAAAUCUCGGGGCUCAACCCCGAAACUGCACUUGAUACUGCCUUGCUAGAGUACUGGAGAGGAGAGUGGAAUUUACGGUGUAGCAGUGAAAUGCGUAGAUAUCGUAAGGAAGACCAGUGGCGAAGGCGAAUCUCUGGACAGUUACUGACACUGAGGCACGAAGGCCAGGGGAGCAAACAGG